rnacentral:rRNA from 1 species
CUACACAUGCAGUCGACGAACCCUUCGGGGUUAGUGGCGCACGGGUGCGUAACGCGUGGGAACCUGCCUUUAGGUUCGGAAUAACAGUUAGAAAUGACUGCUAAUACCGGAUAAUGUCUUCGGACCAAAGAUUUAUUGCCUUUAGAUGGGCCCGCGUUGGAUUAGAUAGUUGGUGGGGUAAUGGCCUACCAAGUCGACGAUCCAUAGCUGGUCUGAGAGGAUGAUCAGCCACACUGGGACUGAGACACGGCCCAGACUCCUACGGGAGGCAGCAGUGGGGAAUAUUGGACAAUGGGCGAAAGCCUGAUCCAGCAAUGCCGCGUGAGUGAUGAAGGCCUUAGGGUUGUAAAGCUCUUUUACCAGGGAUGAUAAUGACAGUACCUGGAGAAUAAGCUCCGGCUAACUCCGUGCCAGCAGCCGCGGUAAUACGGAGGGAGCUAGCGUUGUUCGGAAUUACUGGGCGUAAAGCGCACGUAGGCGGCUUUUCAAGUCAGGGGUGAAAUCCCGGGGCUCAACCCCGGAACUGCCCUUGAAACUGGAUGGCUAGAAUACUGGAGAGGUGAGUGGAAU